rnacentral:rRNA from 1 species
GAGUUUGAUCAUGGCUCAGAAUGAACGUUGGCGGCGUGGAUUAGGCAUGCAAGUCGUGCGGAAAGGCCCCGCAAGGGGUGCUCGAGCGGCGAAAGGGAUAGUAACGCGUGGAUUACCUACCCUCGGGACGGGGAUAGCUGGGGGAAACCCCAAUUAAUACCCGAUAACGUCUUUGGACCAAAGGUGAAAUUCCGCCUGAGGACGGGUCCGCGUCCUAUUAGCUAGUUGGUGAGGUAACGGCUCACCAAGGCAACGAUGGGUAGCGGGUGUGAGAGCACGACCCGCAUCACUGGGACUGAGACACUGCCCAGACACCUACGGGUGGCUGCAGUCGAGAAUCUUCGGCAAUGGGCGAAAGCCUGACCGAGCGACGCCGCGUGUGGGAUGAAGGCCUUCGGGUUGUAAACCACUGUCAGUGGGAAUGAAAUACGGGAGGGUUCACCCUCUCGUUUGACAGACCUUCAGAGGAAGGACGGGCUAAGUUCGUGCCAGCAGCCGCGGUAAUACGAACCGUCCAAACGUUAUUCGGAAUCACUGGGCUUAAAGGGUGCGUAGGCGGCCCGGUAAGUUGGGUGUGAAAUCCCUCGGCUUAACCGAGGAAUUGCGCUCAAGACUGCCGGGCUCGAGGGAGAUAGAGGUGAGCGGAACUUAGGGUGGAGCGGUGAAAUGCGU